rnacentral:rRNA from 1 species
CCUACGGGCGGCAGCAGUAGGGAAUCUUCCACAAUGGGCGAAAGCCUGAUGGAGCAACGCCGCGUGGGUGAAGAAGGUCUUCGGAUCGUAAAACCCUGUUGUUAGAGAAGAAAGUGCGUGAGAGUAACUGUUCACGUUUCGACGGUAUCUAACCAGAAAGCCACGGCUAACUACGUGCCAGCAGCCGCGGUAAUACGUAGGUGGCAAGCGUUAUCCGGAAUCAUUGGGCGUAAAGCGUUCGUAGGCGGUAUGUCAAGUCUGAUGUUAAAGCCCGGGGCUCAACUCCGGUUCGGCAUUGGAUACUGGCAAACUAGAAUGUGGUAGAGGUAAAGGGAAUUCCUGGUGUAGCGGUGAAAUGCGUAGAUAUCAGGAGGAACAUCGGUGGCGAAAGCGCUUUACUGGACCAUUAUUGACGCUGAGGAACGAAAGCCAGGGGAGCAAAUGGGAUUAGAUACCCUAGUAGUC